UGGGGAAUCUUGCGCAAUGGGCGAAAGCCUGACGCAGCCAUGCCGCGUGGAUGAUGAAGGUCUUAGGAUUGUAAAAUCCUUUCAGCGGGGACGAUAAUGACGGUACCCGCAGAAGAAGCCCCGGCUAACUUCGUGCCAGCAGCCGCGGUAAUACGAAGGGGGCUAGCGUUGCUCGGAUUUACUGGGCGUAAAGGGCGCGUAGGCGGACAGUUAAGUUGGGGGUGAAAGCCCGGGGCUCAACCUCGGAAUUGCCUUCAAUACUGGCUGUCUUGAGUGUGAGAGAGGUGUGUGGAACUCCGAGUGUAGAGGUGAAAUUCGUAGAUAUUCGGAAGAACACCAGUGGCGAAGGCGACACACUGGCUCACUACUGACGCUGAGGCGCGAAAGCGUGGGGAGCAAACAGGAUUAGAUACCCCCGUAGUCC
rnacentral:rRNA from 1 species